rnacentral:tRNA from 1 species
GCGCUUCCGGCAGAUCGCGCGGCUCGACCGCCGCACGGCCGGCGAGCUUGGCGUUGCCGAAGGCCGUCAUCCAGG